AGAGUGAUUGGAUUCGAUGCUAGGCUUGACAAAGUGAGCAAUCUUAUGUGUUCUCAUCUUUGUUUCGUUGUCUGUUCGACCUUGGUCUCGAUCUCUCCUUAAAACCCUAAUACGUUAUCGUUUAUUUCAUUCAUCUAUCCUUCUUAUGAUCAUCAUACAUGGUAUCGGUUUAUGAUUGAUGGGGUAGAUAGAUGAUCGAAACUUUUGAUUUCUGAGGCUUUUUUUUUUUUUUUAAACAUUUAGUAUACCAGAUAUUACUAGUACACACAUACAUACUGACACGAUAGUCUAUUUGAUGAUUAAGUCUUUACGUUCGUAUACAUACGGAUUUCCCUUUCUUUUGCAUAAAAUCUUAGAUUAUCGUAGGCAUGCGGAUUUACAAUAAGAAAGAUGAUUGUCUAUGGAAUUUAAUGACAUAAAAGGACCUAAAAUAUGGAAACCUUCUUCUGUAAAUCAUUUGAAUGAUUCGGUUGGAGGAAAAUAUAUAUUCCACCGAAUAGGAUAGUUUCAUGUAGAGACUACAUUAUUACAUAUUGACGUGAGAGAGUUCCAUGUAACUAAGCAUGCGCUUGAUGAAUAAACACAUAAGCAAAACCAUGAGCAUAAACAUAUACGUAUACAUGAUUAACUGUGCUGGUAUUGUAUAUGGAUAUCAUGAGAUUGAAAAAGUAGCAAUAACAAAGUAUACAGUUUAUUAGAGUCGUUAAUUCCUAAGGUCAUUUGAUCUCCAUUUUCCCCGUAUCGAUAUGUUUUUUUUUUACUUUUUUUUUUUUUAAUUUUAAUUCUGUGGAGGGAAGUUACAUCUGAUGUAUUAACAAAAAAAGAAAGUUAAAUGUGAUGUUAAAGUCAAAGCCAAGGUCGAGCAGACAACGAAGAUAAGAUGGAACCAGAUCGGGACUACUCCUUUGACAAGUGUUUGCACUGAAUUCAAAAACUUU
rnacentral:pre_miRNA from 1 species